GACGAACGCUGGCGGCGUGCCUAAUACAUGCAAGUCGAACGCAGUGGGGACGGGUGAGUAACAAGUGGGUAAGCUCGCGUCAGAGGGGAUAACACUUGGAAACAGGUGCUAAACAGAUACUGGUGGAUGGACCCGCGGUGCAUUAGCUAGUUGGUGAGGUAACGGCUCACCAAGGCCACGAUGCAUAGCCGACCUGAGAGGGUGAGCGGCCACACUGGGACUGAGACACGGCCCAGCCUCCUACGUGAGGCAGCAGGAGGGAAUCUUGGGCAAUGGACGAAAGUCUGACCGAGCAAUGCCGCGUGUGUGAAGAAGGUUUUCGGAUCGUAAAUCUCUGUUGUUAGAGAAGCGGUAUCUAACCAGAAAGCCACGGCUAACUACGUGCCAGCCGCCGCGGUAAUAC
rnacentral:rRNA from 1 species